GGUUUGGCGCGCCUGGCCCGCCACGGUCACGUGAGUGAGUGCUGGGUCGCGCCUGCCAUCUUUCUGGUCAACUAUUCUUCCUUAACGGGUUGGAUAGGUAGCCAGAUCUUUUACUUUGAAAAAAUUAGAGUGUUUAAAGCAGGCGUUUGCUAUGAAUACAUUAGCAUGGAAUAAUAACUUAGGACUUCGGUUCUAUUUUGUUGGUUUCUAGGACUGAAGUA
rnacentral:rRNA from 1 species